CGGGGCCGUGCGACGUGCCGGACCCGGGGCCGGAGCCGCCGGAACCGGACGACUUCCGGCUCAACAUCCCGCGCGACGACGACCCGGAGCGGCACGCCAAGAAUUGCCGCAUGGCCGCGCUCGGCCUGGUGGCGAGCGACUUCGCCGAGCAGCUGCGCACGCGCGUGCGUCACAAGCCGCGCCGCCAGGCCUUCGACGUCAGUCUGGGCGACUUCCUCUACACGAACUGGCGCAAACGCAAGGUUUUUCCGCAGCCGGCGGCGGGCGCCAAGCGGGCGCGUCUGGAGGCUCGGCGGGGUGGCCGG